rnacentral:rRNA from 1 species
GGAAAGGCGCGCGAUACAGGGUGACAGCCCCGUACACAAAAAUGCACAUGCUGUGAGCUCGAUGAGUAGGGCGGGACACGUGGUAUCCUGUCUGAAUAUGGGGGGACCAUCCUCCAAGGCUAAAUACUCCUGACUGACCGAUAGUGAACCAGUACCGUGAGGGAAAGGCGAAAAGAACCCCGGCGAGGGGAGUGAAAAAGAACCUGAAACCGUGUACGUACAAGCAGUGGGAGCACAGAGCAAUCUGUGUGACUGCGUACCUUUUGUAUAAUGGGUCAGCGACUUAUAUUCUGUAGCAAGGUUAACCGAAUAGGGGAGCCGAAGGGAAACCGAGUCUUAACUGGGCGUUAAGUUGCAGGGUAUAGACCCGAAACCCGGUGAUCUAGCCAUGGGCAGGUUGAAGGUUGGGUAACACUAACUGGAGGACCGAACCGACUAAUGUUGAAAAAUUAGCGGAUGACUUGUGGCUGGGGGUGAAAGGCCAAUCAAACCGGGAGAUAGCUGGUUCUCCCCG